AUUAUUGCAUCUUUUGUAAGUUAAUUAAAUACGAAUUAUGUUUUAGUUAAAUUCGAUAUGAAAAAACAACAACUUCUGACCAAUAUUACCAUAGCAUUGGAAUUACAAGAAGAAGAAAGAAACAAAACUGAAGAGGAAAACAAUGUAUUACAGCUGAUUGCAAUCAUAACUAAAGGUAAUGAUUUAAACGUUUCCUUUAUUUUAAAUACUAGUAGGUA